rnacentral:lncRNA from 1 species
UCUCAGCCACAAGUUUGAUACAAUGGUACUCCAACAUAAACAAGCUUAGAUCCUUUACAAUAUGUAAUAUUUAUAUUAGAUAUUUCCUUACCUCUUGGUAAAGGAGUCUCCACGGAGAAAAAGAAGACGCUUUUUAAGCGGCUUUGCAUCAAGCUAUAUAUCUUACACUUUCAUUCAGCACAAUAAUAAAGAUUACCUUUUUAUAGCUUUCUGACGGUAAUAACCCGUGUCCAAAAACAAAAAAUUCAAACCUCACGCACUGUGCACGUGAGGCAAGGAGAAGGAAGACUCCCGAUGGGAGCCUUCCUCUUCUCCGAAAACAGUUGGGAAAAGGGAUUUGGGGGCUCAAAACUCAUAUUAAAACCUAGAUUCCAUCUUUAAAAGAUGCUCCCUCCUCCUCCAAGGUCUCCACCACCAAGAUCCGGAGAAAUCUUCACCGAUUUUCAGAAUUUCUUCGAGUAUUUUUUCCUCGGAUUUCACCAGAAUAGGCUACCGGAUUACCUUCUUUGCUUCAUCGGAUUUAGGUAAAGACCUAAGCCCUUACUCUCCUUCUCUUGAUCCUGCAGCCAUCAUCCCACCUUGAUUUUAGCCGGCAGCUCAUUGGAAUCUAAGUUUGAAACCGGAUCCCCAGUUUUCAUUUUUUUUUUUCUCUUUUGAUUUUCCUCCUGCCGGCCCUGCUGUCGUCGCUGGCCAUGUUCAACUACCGAAGCCGAGGUCACCGAAAGUCUGCCACCACGAGGGGUCAUUGUUGUCGGGGGUAAUCGCCAUGGAAAGUGGACGACUAACCAUUCUUUUGUUUCUUCUCCAGUUUCAACAAAGAAGGAAAAGAAGAAAAACAAGAGAAAGAAGAAA